GCCUGCUUAGCUCAGUGGUAGAGCGCGUCACUUGUAUGUUCUUGUGGAUCUGCAUGACGAGGUCAGUCGUUCAAACCGGCUAGUUGGCA